rnacentral:misc_RNA from 1 species
GUUCCAUCUAGAAUAUUUUGCAUCACUUCAUCAGUUAAAGUAUCAUGCCCGAUACUCAAAUCCUUGAGUGAUGACCAUGAUACUCUCCCAUCNNNNNNNNNNNNAAAAAUCGGCUUUAAAAUUACGCAACCAUGAAUUGCGGUAAAAGAAUUGGGGCAACGAGUAACCAUAACAUUUGGCGAUAUCGAAGCCGCGUAUGGUAUUGUUGAGGGAAAAUUCCACAGUAAGAUCCUCCACGUCCCUGAACUGGACCCACGAAUCCAUUCGAGGACCCAAGUCAAUCAAAUCUGCGGAAAAUUGGAUGCAGAAUUUCUUGAUCUUGGAGGAAGAAUAAGUCUUCAGGGUUUUAUCAAUCAAUCUAGCUUCUCGUUCACUGUAUUCUUUGAGGUCGUA